AAUGUCUUUUCAUAAUACUAUUUUGGAUAACUAUUGUUGGUAUACAUAUGAUUGUCGAACUUAAUUUUUUGUUGUAGUCACCAUUGGAUGCUCUUGGUAAUAUCUCCUUCAACUCACACAAUAUACCAUUUUGAUUCUAUGCGUCAAGAACCACCCCGAGGCUUACUAAUCAAAAGCAUAUUGAAUAGUGUGAUGAAAAGAUUACGUGGAUGUGGUCCAAGAAGAGCCACACUUCCUCAAUGGAAAUCAGUGAAGUGCGCACAACAACAAGACGGAGUUGCUUGCGGCUAUUACGUGAUGAGGUUUAUGUUCGAUAUACUUACUUGUUGCACAGAAGUCGAUGAUCUUGAGAAGGUUCGUAACAUUCCG